rnacentral:rRNA from 1 species
GAUCCUGGCUCAGGAUGAACGCUAGCUACAGGCUUAACACAUGCAAGUCGAGGGGCAGCAUCAUCAAAGCUUGCUUUGAUGGAUGGCGACCGGCGCACGGGUGAGUAACACGUAUCCAACCUGCCGACAACACUGGGAUAGCCUUUCGAAAGGAAGAUUAAUACCGGAUGGUAUAGUUUUCCCGCAUGGGAUAAUUAUUAAAGAAUUUCGGUUGUCGAUGGGGAUGCGUUCCAUUAGGCAG